rnacentral:misc_RNA from 1 species
CUUGGUCAUUUAGAGGAAGUAAAAGUCGUAACAAGGUCUCCGUUGGUGAACCAGCGGAGGGAUCAUUACCGAGUUUACAACUCCCAAACCCAACGUGAACAUUACCUUGACGUUGCCUCGGCGGGACCGCCCCGGCGCCCUCACCGGCACCGGAACCAGGCGCCCGCCGCAGGGACCCAAACCUCUGUUUUAUUAUGAAUUCUCCUCUGAGUGGAUUUUAUACAAAUAAAUCAAAACUUUCAACAACGGAUCUCUUGGCUCUGGCAUCGAUGAAGAACGCAGCGAAAUGCGAUAAGUAAUGUGAAUUGCAGAGUUCAGUGAAUCAUCGAAUCUUUGAACGCACAUUGCGCCCGCCAGCAUUCUGGCGGGCAUGCCUGUCCGAGCGUCAUUUCAACCCUCAGGCUCCCGCGCCUGGCGUUGGGGAUCGGCCUUCACCGGCCGGCCCCGAAAUACAGUGGCGGCCCCGCCGUAGACCUCCUCUGCGUAGUAGCACACACCUCGCAGCCUGGAAGCGCGGCGGCGGCCACGCCGGAAAACCCCCGACUUCUGAAAGUUGACCUCGGAUCAGGUAGGAAUACCCGCUGAACUUAAGCAUAUCAAUAAGCGGAGGA